rnacentral:rRNA from 1 species
UACGGGAGGCAGCAGUGAGGAAUAUUGGUCAAUGGGUGCAAGCCUGAACCAGCCAUCCCGCGUGAAGGACGACUGCCCUAUGGGUUGUAAACUUCUUUUGUAUAGGGAUAAACCUACCCUCGUGAGGGUAGCUGAAGGUACUAUACGAAUAGACCGUUUCCCC